AGGCCACCUUCUCCCUCCCCACGAACACCCAAGCUCCAAGGAAAGGGAAGUCUCCGAGGCUCUGGGGGCGCCCACCCCGCUAGUCCGCCCCUCUCGCGCCCUCCCUCGCCUCGCUGGCAUCUCUCGCCUCCACGACAUCUCCAGGGCCCCGCUCUUCCUUAGCAACAGUUUGGGAAGGUUCUGCCUACGGAGGCCGAGAAAGGCCGAGACUCUCCCUCCCCGCCGCCCCAGGACAGCCGGUGCAGCGCGCGGCCUUCCCUACCUUCUCCAGCUCUUCCCGCCCCGCUCUCCGCCGCCCCCUCCUCUCCAGUCUCCGUCCCUCCCGCAGGCAUCUCGGCGGGAGCCGCGGCUCCUCCCCCUGCAGUCCCCACCCGGACAGAGAAAUGUCAAGCUGUGAAUGCUGAGCCACGCUGCAAAGGCUGAGCCGAGCUGUGAAUGCCAAGCCAAGCCAAAUGCUGAGCUGCGAGCUGAGCUGUAACACCAAGUCAAGCUGCUGAGGUGAGCUGUGACAAUGAAUGCUGAGCUGCAAAACACAACACCAAGCUGAGCAUGCUGAGUUGAGCUAAGCAUGCUGAGCUGCAACAAUGAAUGCUGAGCUGAGAGAUGCAACACUAAGCUGAGCAUGAUGAGCUGAGCUGCAACAACCAACAUCGAGUGGUGAGUUGAGCUGCAGUGCUGAGCCAUGCAUUUCCACCACUGCCUCAGCCAGGCUUGUGCCUUGACCCAGUUUGAGCUGUAAUACUGAAGGCACUUGCACCAUUGUCUCAGGCCAGGCUGCUGCCUCAGCCAGGCUUGUGUAGCAACACCAGGGGCUUUUCCAUCAUCACCCUGAACAAGUUCAAGUUUAGUACUGAGCUGAUUAAAGUCUGAUUGUACUGAAGUCAUGUUUCUUCAUUCUGAAGUCCAUCUGUACCAGAGAAUAAAAAUGGCAACUACAGAUAUUGUAUACUAACUUUAAAAUAAUAUUAUCAAUCUUUAAAUGAUAAGGUUUCUGGAAAUUAGUCAUAAAUUUUAAGUUCUUACUGAUUUUUAUUCAUUCCUUUAAUCAUUUCUAUUCACAACUAAAAUAAACUUUAACACUUUGCUUACAGUUUUCCCAACAUCUUGUUAUUUGUUAAAAAAAGACAUAUGCUAUAUAACUGUUUCAAAGCCUUAUAUAUUCCUGAAC
rnacentral:lncRNA from 1 species